GACGAACGCUGGCGGCGUGCUUAACACAUGCAAGUCGAACGGAAAGGCCCUGCUUUUGUGGGGUGCUCGAGUGGCGAACGGGUGAGUAACACGUGAGUAACCUGCCCCUGACUUUGGGAUAACUUCAGGAAACUGGGGCUAAUACCGGAUAGGAGCUCCUGCUGCAUGGUGGGGGUUGGAAAGUUUCGGCGGUUGGGGAUGGACUCGCGGCCUAUCAGCUUGUUGGUGGGGUAGUGGCUUACCAAGGCUUUGCAGGGUAGCCGGCCUGGGAGGGUGACCGGCCACAUUGGGACUGAGCUACGGCCCAGCCUCCUACGGGACGCAGCGGUGGGGAAUAUUGCACUAUGGGCGGAAGCCUGAUGCAGCACCGCCGCGUGCGGGAUGACGGCCUUCGGGUUGUAUACCGCUUUCGCCUGUGCCGAAGCGUUAGUGACGGUAAUGGGUAAAGAAGCACCGGCUAACUCCGUG
rnacentral:rRNA from 1 species